GAGACCCCAGAGAGAUCCCUUGCAAGUUCCACCAUGUGAGGAUACAGGGAGAAAAUGGCAGUCUAUGAACCAGGAAGCAGGUCUUCACCAGAACCCAGCUGUGCUAGCACCCUGAACUCAGGCUUUCAGCCUCCAGAACUAUCCUCAGAGCUUUAUAGCCUUUCAGUUGAGAAAUAUGAAACACUGAAAAUCGAAAACAAAUGCUGGAAAUCUUCUAUCAGGAGUUCUUCUAUAGAUUGAAAACCUGCACAGUGGAGAAUACAACCUAAGGAGUAUUUUACAUGCCUUCCUUUGUAUCAGGGCAGACUCAUGAUUAGUGGACUUGGAAGUUCAUAAAAUUUGGAGGGUCCUCUUUAAUAAAGAGAAGAAAAGAUUAUAAAUACAAAAUUAGUUGCAAAGCCUGCCACCAUGUAAGAUAUGCCUUUCACCUUCAGCCAUGAUUGCAAGGCCUCCCCAGCCUGAUGGAACUAAAAACCAUGCCUUUCCUAUGUGGAUAAUCAGCAAAGCUGAGGACAUUGGGAAGCAACUCAGGAUUGCCAGUUUACAGCUCUUCUGGAUGUGCACUGGUUAAUGCAUGGAAUUCAGCAACAGCAGACUUUGUUCCUUUGAUGGAUCCAGAAGAUCGCCACAUCAAGGAAUAUGGUGGUAAAACUGCAAGAUAAUCUGCCACCCCUAACAACUAUAGAAGUUCUAAGGAUGUUAGAGACUCAUAGAGAGGAAUUCUAAUGGCCAUACUUGAACCGUUGCAGCAAUACACUCAGAAGAUUGGUGAAAGAAAAGAAAGACAUUUUGAAAGUGAUUUUCAAAAAACAGUUAAUCCAGAAUUCCAUAUUUAGCAAAAUUAUACUUCAAGAAUGAAUGUGACAUGAUAACGUCAAUGAAAAGAAAACCAAAAUAAUUUGUCACCCCAAAAAAAUAUUGAACAAGAAUGCUAAAGAAAGUAGUGUAUAAUGUAUAUGGCUGUGAAAUAUAUUAUGAUUAAAGCCUAGAGGAUUUU